rnacentral:hammerhead_ribozyme from 1 species
ACCCAAAGUUGACGAGUCCCAAAUAGGACGAAACGCACGUCAAACUGGAU